CUUGUUUACCGUGUCUACCUUUCGUAAAGUUGUAAGGAAAUCAUACAAUCAACAUGCUGAAAAUUGGAAGUCUUCUCGUUAUUGCUUUGGUGUGUCUGACUGUCGUAAGUGGAAACGCCAUGCAAUGUCAAGAUGUAUCACAAUUUAGUCCGUGUCCUGACAGUCUGAAGACAACAAUUUGGACUUACAAAAAUCAACAAGGAGCAUGCAGGCGAAAAACAGGUUGUUACGCAUCGGGCAAAAACGUCUUUACAACCGAAGCUGCCUGUAAAGUUGGAUGUGGCCUAUAAUAAGGUCAUACAAGCUGACAUCAUAAGAAAAAAAAACACACUAAAAUAAUCAUCCCCAGACUCAUAACGUACUAGAAGCAGACAUAAAGAAAAAUGAACGAUGCUGAUUUGACCUAUCUUCGACUUCAAAAUAUCAAGGCAGCAUAUUUUAUGAAAUUAUUCAUUUUGAUGAUAAAAAUGGUCCUACAAACUAUUUAUUUCUUUUUAAAUAUAACGGAGAGUUAAAAUAGUUAUAAAAAUAAAAGUGUGUAAUUA